UACGUAGGGGGCAAGCGUUGUCCGGAUUUACUGGGCGUAAAGAGCGUGUAGGCGGCCAAACAGGUCCGUUGUGAAAACUGGAGGCUCAACUUCCCAGACGUCGACGGAAACCGUGUGGCUAGAGUCCGGAAGAGGAGAGUGGAAUUCCGUGGUGUAGCGGUGAAAUGCGCAGAUAUCAGGAAGAACACCCGUGGCGAAGGCGGCUCUCUGGGACGGUACUGACGCUGAGACGCGAAAGCGUGGGGAGCGAACAGG
rnacentral:rRNA from 1 species